rnacentral:rRNA from 1 species
UACGUAGGUGACAAGCGUUGUCCGGAUUUACUGGGCGUAAAGGGCGCGUAGGCGGGCCAGCCAGUCUGUGGUGAAAGCCUCCAGCUUAACUGGAGAAGUGCCGUGGAUACUGCUGGCCUCGAGGAGGAUAGGGGCAUCUGGAACGGUCGGUGGAGCGGUGAAAUGCGUUGAUAUCGACCGGAACUCCGGUGGCGAAGGCGAGGUGCUGGGUCCUUUCUGACGCUGAUGCGCGAAAGCCAGGGGAGCAAACGGG